rfam:Clostridium celatum DSM 1785 genomic scaffold Scfld82, whole genome shotgun sequence.
AACUUAUCAAGAGUGGUGGAGGGACUGGCCCGUUGAAACCCGGCAACCUAUUAACUAUAUUAAUGUGGUGCUAAUUCCAACAGCUUAUGGCUGAUAGAUAAGGA